rnacentral:rRNA from 1 species
ACGUUCCUACGGGGGGCAGCAGUGGGGGAUAUUGCACAAUGGGGGGAACCCUGAUGCAGCGACGCCGCGUGGGUGAAGGAGCGUUUCGGCGCGUAAAGCCCUAUCGGCAGGGAAGAAGAUGACGGUACCUGACCAAGAAGCCCCGGCUAACUACGUGGCAGCAGCCGCGGGAAUACGUAGGGGGCAAGCGUUAUCCGGAUUUACUGGGGGUAAAGGGGGGGCAGACGGCAAUGCAAGCCAGGAGGGAAAGCCCGGGGCCCAACCCCGGGACUG